rnacentral:rRNA from 1 species
AAACUAACAAGGAUUCCCCUAGUAGCGGCGAGCGAAGCGGGAAGAGCUCAAAUUUAUAAUCUGGCACCUUCGGUGUCCGAGUUGUAAUCUCUAGAAGUGUUUUUCGCGUUGGACCGCACACAAGUCUGUUGGAAUACAGCGGCAUAGUGGUGAAACCCCCGUAUAUGGUGCGGACGCCCAGCGCUUUGUGAUACACUUUCAAUGAGUCGAGUUGUUUGGGAAUGCAGCUCAAAUUGGGUGGUAAAUUCCAUCUAAAGCUAAAUAUUGGCGAGAGACCGAUAGCGAACAAGUACCGUGAGGGAAAGAUGAAAAGCACUUUGGAAAGAGAGUUAACAGUACGUGAAAUUGUUGGAAGGGAAACGCUUGAAGUCAGACUUGCUUGCCGGAGCUUGCUUCGGUUUGCAGGCCAGCAUCAGUUUUCCGGGGUGGAUAAUGACGGUUUGAAGGUAGCAGUCUCGGCUGUGUUAUAGCUUUCCGUUGGAUACGCCCUGGGGGACUGAGGAACGCAGCGUGCUUUUUGCGAAAGACUCGUCUUUUUCACGCUUAGGAUGCUGGUGGAAUGGCUUUAAACGAC